rnacentral:rRNA from 1 species
AACGAACGCUGGCGGCAGGCUUAACACAUGCAAGUCGAGCGCCCCGCAAGGGGGGCGGCAGACGGGUGAGUAACGCGUGGGAAUCUACUCAACCCUACGGGAUAAGGCAUGGAAACGUGUGCUAAUACCUUAUACGCCCUACGGGGGAAAGAUUUAUCGGGGAUGGAUGAGCCCGCGUUGGGUUAGCUAGUUGGUGGGGUAAAGGCCUACCAAGGAGACGAUCCAUAGCUGGUCUGAGAGGAUGAUCAGCCACAUUGGGACUGAGACACGGCCCAAACUCCUACGGGAGGCAGCAGUGGGGAAUAUUGGACAAUGGGCGCAAGCCUGAUCCAGCCAUGCCGCGUGAGUGAUGAAGGCCCUAGGGUUGUAAAGCUCUUUCACCGAUGAAGAUAAUGACGGUAGUCGGAGAAGAAGCCCCGGCUAACUUCGUGCCAGCCGCCGCGGUAACAC